AGUAGGUAACAACAGCCAAAAUGUGGGGUCUCUGGUCAAACUAAAUUUAUUAAUUCUCUUUUCAUUCAUGUUUGGGAAUGAGAAGUGAGCAUGUAAUUUCUAGUAUAUAAUAGGAAUCAUCACACUGCAAAAGAAAAUCGUCCAACUACAACAAGAAUAGAAGAUAAUUAUGGGAAGUGAAUUGGUGGAAAUUAAGAUGAGCCAAUCACCACUAAAAAUUGGUGAUAAAGAACUGCAAAAUAAAGCUUCUUUAACACCAUCUCCAAUUCUUGAUUCUAUACCAAAAAAUCCCAAAAGUCCAUUUGCUGCGUGCAAAAUACAGUUUCUUUAACACCAUCUCCAAUUCUUGAUUCUAUACCAAAUACACCCAAAAGUCCAUUUGGUGCAAGAAUAAUGACACCAUUAGCUAGCCCCAUGAAAAAAGCCUUAACAUAUAUGGAAGAAAUUG
rnacentral:lncRNA from 1 species